rnacentral:rRNA from 1 species
CUUCAGGUGGUUAUAGCACGAGGGUUCCACCUCUUCCCAUUCCGAACAGAGAAGUUAAGCCUCGUCACGCCGAUGGUACUGCGUAACAGUGGGAGAGUAGGUAGUCGCCGUUUUUA